ACACACUGUAGGUGUUCUUGUUUAUGUUUCAUGCGGUCACAAAAACAUUAAGUUACAUAUGUUAAGUUUAUAUAUGUAGCUUAGGCUUCCUGAUCCAGCUAAUAAAGCAAGCAGUCCAUUUAACAGCAAGACAAUGGCAUAUCUAUAUGUACCUUGAGCGCUACAUUUUCUAGCAGCAAGAUAAUAGUGCAUCCUUAUGCACCUUGAGAAUUGCAUUUUCUACCUGCGCUUGUACUACUAUUACUAUUGGACUGACAUAAAGUCAGCGAGUUCAAAAUUUCCAUGUUUAGUUUUGACUGAUGUUAUGGUUCUUCAUUGAGUUUUGUUCCAGAUAUUUACCUAGACCCUUGAGAUGCUAUUCAUAUUGGCCUGAAUGCAGUUGAAUUCUGAAUCAUAUAGAAGCUGGGAGAUUUGUCUUUCACAUAUUUUCAGUGCAUGCUCGGAGAACAGGAUAAGAGGAGAGGCUUGAAUCUUGAGAUGACAAGGGUAGUCACCUGCUGCGACUAAAGGAAGGAGGUCAAUGGAGCAAAAGGCACGAAAAGGAAGGAGCAGCGCCACAGGGACAAUGUUGUCGGCAGCGCCUUUGGAAGGAUUCGCUCUAGAGAAGUUACGGUAGUCGGCCAUCGCCCAGGGGAAGCGGGGAGGAUGUUGUUCGGAACGGCUGGGUCUAGAGGAGUGUGUCCAGGUGGUGGCCGAGGAUGGCCACGAGCAGUUGGGUUGGGCAUUUGUCAACGUGAUGGCGUUGUUGCUCAAGGUACCAACACCCUUGUUUUGACCCAAUGUUUCUCGGCUAGCUGUGCAUGGCUGGGACUGUUUCGUGCAUCUGGGCGACGGCUCAUGCCAUCCACUUCCAAAGCAAUAAGACUUGAAAGGAGAAAAUGUUGGCAAAAAGUCCCUCAAAAUUCAUAGUGUGGGUGUAGAAGGUUUGGGGAUUUUGAGCCGGAUGGGCCAUUGAUGGUUGCGGUUGGCUUGGAUAGGGAAGGUAGAGAUAGUAAGUGAAGAGGAGCAGGAGAACGAAAACGAAGAAGAAUAGUGGUUUAUAGGCAGAAAACAAUUAAGAAUGUUGCUUAAUGUGCAUGAGGAUCCAUACAAUGUAUAUUUGACACGAUUAAAGUUGACUCAUGUCGAGCCAGGGAAGGUAGAGAUAAUAAGUGAAGAGGAGCAGGAGAACGAAGACGAAGAAGAAUAGUGGUUU